rnacentral:rRNA from 1 species
UGGGGAAUUUUGGACAAUGGGCGAAAGCCUGAUCCAGCAAUGCCGCGUGUGUGAAGAAGGCCUUCGGGUUGUAAAGCACUUUUGUCCGGAAAGAAAUCCUUGGCUCUAAUACAGUCGGGGGAUGACGGUACCGGAAGAAUAAGCACCGGCUAACUACGUGCCAGCAGCCGCGGUAAUACGUAGGGUGCAAGCGUUAAUCGGAAUUACUGGGCGUAAAGCGUGCGCAGGCGGUUUGCUAAGACCGAUGUGAAAUCCCCGGGCUCAACCUGGGAACUGCAUUGGUGACUGGCAGGCUAGAGUAUGGCAGAGGGGGGUAGAAUUCCACGUNUAGCAGUGAAAUGCGUAGAGAUGUGGAGGAAUACCGAUGGCGAAGGCAGCCCCCUGGGCCAAUACUGACGCUCAUGCACGAAAGCGUGGGGGAGCAAACAGGAUUAGAUACCCUGGUAGUCCACGCCCUAAACGAUGUCAACUAGUUGUUGGGGAUUCAUUUCCUUAGUAACGUAGCUAACGCGUGAAGUUGACCGCCUGGGGAGUACGGUCGCAAGAUUAAAACUCAAAGGAAUUGACGGGGUCAUAGCUGUUUCCU